rnacentral:rRNA from 1 species
AAUCCGUAGAUAUCACCAAGAAUACCCAUUGCGAAGGCGAUCUGCUGGAACUCAACUGACGCUAAGGCGCGAAAGCGUGGGGAGCAAACAGGAUUAGAUACCCUGGUAGUCCACGCCCUAAACGAUGUACACUAGUUGUUGGGGUGCUAGUCAUCUCAGUAAUGCAGCUAACGCAUUAAGUGUACCGCCUGGGGAGUACGGUCGCAAGAUUAAAACUCAAAGGAAUAGACGGGGACCCGCACAAGCGGUGGAGCAUGUGGUUUAAUUCGAAGAUACGCGAAGAACCUUACCUGGGCUUGAUAUCCUAAGAACCUCUUAGAGAUAAGAGGGUGCUAGCUUGCUAGAACUUAGAGACAGGUGCUGCACGGCUGUCGUCAGCUCGUGUCGUGAGAUGUUGGGUUAAGUCCCGCAACGAGCGCAACCCACGUAUUUAGUUGCUAACGGUUCGGCCGAGCACUCUAAAUAGACUGCCUUCGUAAGGAGGAGGAAGGUGUGGACGACGUCAAGUCAUCAUGGCCCUUAUGCCCAGGGCGACACACGUGCUACAAUGGCAUAUACAAUGAGACGCAAUACCGCGAGGUGGAGCAAAUCUAUAAAAUAUGUCCCAGUUCGGAUUGUUCUCUGCAACUCGAGAGCAUGAAGCCGGAAUCGCUAGUAAUCGUAGAUCAGCCAUGCUACGGUGAAUACGUUCCCGGGUCUUGUACUCACCGCCCGUCACACCAUGGGAGUUGAUUUCACUCGAAGCCGGAAUACUAAACUAGUUACCGUCCACAGUGGAAUCAGCGACUGGGGUGAAGUCGUAACAAGGUAACCGUAGGAGAACCUGCGGUUGGAUCACCUCCUUUCUA